AAUAGCAUUGACUUGACUUGACUUGAUGCAAUGCUGGUUGACAAAGAAGUGUGUGAGUGGAAGGUGAUAGUAUCAACAUUGAGCUUGAUGGAGAUCAAGAUGAAUAUCCAUAUUUUGAUCUUACAUACAAAGGAUAUUUGCACCCAUUUUAUGGGCACCAUUGCCAUAGCCAAGUUGGUGAUUAACCUCCAUGCUCUCUUCGGAGACAUUAUUCUUGAAAAUUAUUAUUAAUAUUAUUAUUUUUUCUUCUCUCUCUCUUUGCUCUUGUUGAUCCUUCUCAAGCUUGGCAUGAGGAUUGAGAUGAGAGACGAGGUCAAGGAGGUCAAAUUGAAGGAUGGGAAUAUGGGAAAUAAUUUAGUAAAAAUUUGGCCUUAUUAUUAUACCCUUUCAACCUCGUCCCUGUUCCCAACCAUCACCUCCACCCCAUCCUUAGCAAUGGUUGGGAAUGGAGAACUCUGGGAACAAGGAUGAGGGUGCAAAUGAUGGUUAAGAUAAAAUGGGACAUUUUAGUAAAAAUUUGGGUCGUUUUAUCAUUCUUUUAUAUUAUUAGGGUUUGCUUCUACUGCGAGGGAGGGAGCUAUGGAGCUACGCGAGCGUGACUUCUUCGCAAUCCUGCAACGGGCAGCUGGAUGUUCCUUCGAUGCGCUUGGGGAAUAGGAGCAGGAGGUGGAGGGAGGAGGAGAAAGAGCACCUGGAGGCUUCGAAGCUCUGGCUAUGCCGGAACUGGUGUCGCAAACGGCCUACACGAAGCAUGCACGAGAUUGGAUCGAAUGGUAAUGGUAGAAGCUGGUUACAGGCCGUCGUUCCUUCGUUCAUUUACUGUGUUGACUCGUUACCAAGUCUUCGGGCUGAGUAUGGCAGUUGGUGUUCGCAAGAGAUACUUGGUGCCGACGUUCCCUGUAUAAGUAUACAAGUAUUCUCCACGAAUAGACGAUUGAAAAUUCGGGGCGAUGAAUGGCGUUGCUUGCUCGAAAGGAAGGAAAUGGAAUGAUCGGUUCAGUGAGGGCUUCUGGAGCGCGCUCUGUUUGCUGCAGGAUCUAGAGGGUUGGAAACUCAUUGGAGGUACCUAUGAAGCCUGAGAGUACUUCAACUGAGUCGGCUGGGUUAUGAAUGCGCUUUUACAGGUGAGGAAUAUGUGAGAAGGCAAAGGAAAUAUUGAUGCAGGAAAAUAAUGUCCAGGUGUCCAUUCUUUUCAUUACGCUUAAAGAAGUUUAUGGUAGAUGAUUAGGUGAUACUGAGAGAAAUAGAUGAGGGUAGUUCUUUUUUUCAUAUGGGAUUUUGCACUUAUCAAACUUAAGCUGUGUUGGUGGCGAUCCCAUGCGCAUAUUGAGAAAGAAGUAGAGUGAGUUGGUUUGCCCUUUUAAAGCACGUAGUUUCUAAUUAAGAUUCAUCAGUCGUUUUGAUGGAUAUCCCUGCUUAAUUAUCACCUUCUGAAUGCGCUUGUCCAUGAGCUGGGAUGAUUUGUUUUGGUGGCGUGCAUGGGUGGUAACAGCCAGCCAGACAAUCUGUGGAGACAUCCAUGGGCUAUUCCAUGAUCUCACCAAUCCUUUUCGGAUUGGAGGAAUGGUUUGUGUUCUGAUUACUUUCUUAUUUUUACGUAUGAGCAGUUUUUGUUUAUUUUCCAGUGGGGAAUAAUCUAAAACUAUUGCCUCACUUCUUGUGGCGACUCAAAUUUGCUGAUAUUUGGUUUGAAUGAAAAAUCACUCAGAACUUUUUUCGUUAAUGACUAUUGCUGUAGUUGAGCCAUGGUCCACAAGUGUGUUCCACUUUUGUGAGGGCUACUUUGAAUGAUAGUAUCAGUUUUUUCCAUCGAUUCAUCUAGCAGCUGCUCAUGGCUUUGAAAGUGCGAUAUCGAGAUCGUGUCACGAUUUUGCGAGGCAACCAUGAGUGUCAGCAGAUCACUCAAUCUAUGGGUUCUACGACGUAUACCUUCGAAAGUGAGUUGUGUUAUAUUGGUAUGUUAUAACUUCGUGGCCAAAGCAAAUGGCAACAAAAGAAACAAAGUGUUGCUGAAGUCUUCAUGGCAACCCGGGCAUUGCGUUGCACAGAAUGGUGUCAUACAUUGACACUGCAUCUCUCUAAUCGGAUUAUUCAAUUUGGGGACACUUAUAGGUUCGGGAACGCCCAAGUAUGGAAGUUCUUUACGGACCUAUUUGAUUAUUUUCCCUUGACCGUUCUGGCCAUUUCGGAGCAGUUCAAUCACAACGAUAAACUCAAGUUUUUUGCACGAGGUCAUCAAUUAGUUGUGAAGGGUUACCAUUGGGCUCAUGGACGUUUUCCAUCUAUAUCGUUUCUUGUGUGACUUCUCAGUCCCCAUUCACGUGGCCGUUGGUUAGCGUUGACUGUUGAGUAAUUAUAAAAUUCUUAUGGUUUAUUUAUCCAGGAACUCAAGGUGGUCACUAUCGUCUGCGCACCUAACUGCUGCUAUCGCUGUGGUUUAGCCUGUCGUCUUGCACACUUCGCUCCACUGUUUCUCAAGAUGUCUUCUUGUUGGUACACGUAUGUGAUACGUUUUUAGCUGGGAAUCACAGUUAAUGCGUUGUACUCAAGAUCUGUAGUAUUCUUGGUAUUUAUUAAUUGCAGGAAAUAUAUCUUCUAUAUUGGAAGUUGACGACAAUGUGUGCAACGCAUUUAUCCAAGUCAGUUUUUUGCUGGAUUAGAAUGGCAGUGCACUGCUCGGACGUUUCAGUAUGAUCUUAGUUGCUGCAUUGGCAUUAGCAUCAGGGUUCAUCAUAGUCAUGUCGGGACGUCGCAUCUACAUCUCACAUGUCCAGAUGUAUUAGAACAGCGCCCUCGAAGCAUUGUAUACCUCGGUGUUUCAAGCUGUGUCUGUGUUCUUAAACACGCGCCGGUCAAUGUGAUGACUGAUUUGGUUGCU